AAAAAACUGAGCUUAAAUUGUCACUGUGCAAUCGAAUUUAGAGUGGAUUCAUGUAUACUUAUCUGUCAUAAGGAACUCUUUUGUGUUUUUUAGCUUUUUUGAGUUUAGAGUGCGAUGAUAGUUUUUUUUCCAUCAUUACUGCGCAGUUAUUCUUUGAUAUGUUUUAUAAUUAAUGGGCAGCACGUGAAUUAAGUUGCAUUAUUUUCAAUGUUCAAAUGCAAAUAGUAAGGAUGCAAUGAGUUUGUAUAUAUUAUGAAUUGAAAGUUUUCAUAAUGAAUAAUGAUAUAAUAUCUUUUUAUAUGACAUGAAAUGAAUAAUUUUGAAAUAAAAAAAUAUUUUGAC
rnacentral:misc_RNA from 1 species